rnacentral:rRNA from 1 species
AUAUAUACAACGGAGAGUUUGAUCCUGGCUCAGGAUGAACGCUAGCGAUAGGCUUAACACAUGCAAGUCG